rnacentral:lncRNA from 1 species
AAGAUCACCUAAUAUUUUAACCAGUUUCUGUUGAUCAACAUAGUUAAAUAUUUUCCAUCAUUUGAUUAACUUUUUGGGCACCUUGACAACCAUCAGAACUCUAGACUUGGUGGACAAAUCCAUCCUGUAAUAACACAUAAGACGUUACCUCAAAAAUUCAACAGGAGUAGAAGAUUCCCAACCCUUGGAAUUUUUGACGCCAACAUGUGUCGAUGGGACAGACCACAUUCAUGACUCCAAUUUGCCGAACAGAAGCACUGAGCGAAAUCAAUCUACUUGGCAAACCACUCCAGAUUAUGGGACGAGAGACCUAGGCUAAUACUAAGACCAACGCCGACACAAAAAAUUUAUCGGACCCACCGAGGAUUGCCUACGUAUCCCAACCCGAGGGAAGGGAAUCAGGUAUGCGUAGUUCAAUCAGAUUGAACAAAUAACGAUUUACUAGUAAAUUGGUUCUAACUUAAGAGACACUAUCUAAGACAAACGAAAAAAACUUUUGGAUUUUCAGCUAGACACUGACAACACCAAUUAUGAAGAAAAAAUCUUUUUGGCAUUUUUGUGUUUUUUUGACAAAUAAGUAGAAAAGACAAACAAAACUUUUUUUUUUGAAUUUACAGUACUUUAGAAAAUGUAAAAAAAAAUCUUUUUGAGUUUUUGGAUUGUGAAAAGCAAAAGUCAUAACGAAUUCUAAAAUAAACUACGACAUUCCUCAUUUUUUUUUUCAUUCUUUUCGACUCACUUUUUCUAUUUUUCAUUAUUAUUAUUAUUAUUAUUAUUAUUUUCGUUUUUACCUACGCACCUUACUCCUAAAUUUUUUAAAAAAAAAAAAAUCAGUCCGUCAAAUGACUACGUUACCCUUAAAAAUGCAACAGUUAGCACGUAGGAAUGCUUUAGAGGUGAGUCUCCUACAAAGGGCCAUGUGGGUCCCGCUAGGUCUCAGUAUGAUGCACAUAAGCAUGACCUAAAGGCUGACCUAUGUCGUGGUUCACUAACAAGGUUGUUCGGGGGAGCGUAUGGUCGAUAGUGGCUGAUUUACUUUCCACCUACUCCAUAACACCGACGGCUCCCCCCCUAAAAUAAGGGUGACUCAACUAGAGGUCGUGUACAACACGUGUACUACGGACUUGUUGCAGAAAGAAGGCCUGGGGGUAGACACAUGAUGCGAUAAAUAAUAUAAACAAAGAGCACGAAAAAGCACAAAAAGUGAAAAUAACACAAACAAUAACCACAAAUAAUGUUUAUCCACUCGUAAUGCCAAACAAAGCCGAUACGACUCCAAAAAUAGGUUGAAUUCUGAAAACUUGUCAUACUCUCCAGCAGAGUCGCCAGAAGCUGUCACACCCCUUUUUUGCGCGUACUUCAAAAAUGUGUAUAUUUUAAAGUUCGAAAGGGCUUUAUUAUUUAAGUGACAAGAAAUGAAAAUUUAUUUCGGAAAAGGAUUAUUUGCAUUUUUUAUUCAGAGUCGCCACUUGGCAUAAUCCGAUGUGCCAAGUCACUUUUGAAAAAUCCUUUUCGAAAACCAUUUAACUCUUAAACUGGUUUGCGAACAGAGAUUCCGGCUAAGGAAUUCUGUUGACCGAGGGGAAGGUGUUAGGCACCCCUCGAUCCCGUGGUUCAACCACGGUCGCUUGGUAGAGUGUAUCGACUAUUUUUGACACUAUGAAAUGUAUAAACCACACAAAAGAACGCAAAAUAAUCAAACAAUAAACAAAACAAAGCAGUCCAAAAACGUAUAGUCCAGUCUAAUUAUUCAGUCCAAAAAAAACAAAUACGAAAAUAUAAAUCCUAACCUAAACUAAAUCUAGACUAAGCUCCAAUGUCUUACCCGACGCCGCGGGCCUUCAUCACGAUCAUUUUCCGCCAACAUGAUACGUCGGGGCAUUCCCCGGUGAAUAAAUACAAGUGAUCUCGGGACAUUCCCCGACUCAAUAAAUACAUCUGAAUUAAACACGAUAAACUAGAAAGAGACAUUCACACGCACAUUCCAACAUUCAACCAAAAUAGCAAGCUUUAAAAUUUGUCUACCCGAGCUUGCUAUUUACCUACCCGCUCGACAACAUACCGCAUUCAACAUCAACAAUGUAUCAAAAAUAUCAAAUAUUUACUUUUAUCAUUUUUUCGAUUCCCGUCCCCAAAUUUAUUUUUUUAUACUAAGUUUUCACAAUUCACCAUUUCUACUUCAGCGACCCUCAAUCACUUUUCAACAAAAUUAAACAAACGAGUCCACAUCAAAAUAACAGACAAUCACCAAACAAGACAACAUACGUUCAUCACCAACCAGUAUCAAACAACACACAAACAUCCAAAUUGAAAUACGAAACAUCUCAAAUAAUAAAAUAAAUAAGAGAAAGUGUAGAGUUGGACCUCGAUUGAAGCUUUUAUCACGCCAAAAUAUAUAAUCAAAAGCCAAAGUCGGAUCCAAAACUCUCGAUUUGAACACCUCGACUGACGAACAGAUCCAACUCGAUAUGGGAAAACGACCUCCGAUCAGAUUUCCAACUAAAAAAAUAGCAAUAUAACACCCAAACUGAAUAUUGACUCGAUUUGUCUUGGAAAUUCCCAAUGAACCUGAUAUGGAUAAUAAACCCCGCAAUGGAUGAUCCCAAAAGUUGAUAAAAUCUAGCAGAAAACUAAGCACCAGCACGAUUCAAACUCCGGUGAGUCGCCGGUGACGACAAUGACCAGAGCAGCCAGUCGCCGGUCGGAUUUCAUCCAAAAUCGAAGGAAAACAGAGGAAGUUUGGUCGUUUAUAUGCUCUCGGUCGACGGGGUUACUGUUUUUGAUGGAUUUCCGAGCGAUUGGAUUGUGGGUCGCUAUCAGCGAUGUUUUUCUGACGGUUUUGACAACAGUGAAGGUAGAAACUACCCCUAUGAAUCACCGAAGCUCCGGCGAGCUCGGGUCGCCGGAGCAGACCUCUCUUCACUGAAAAAUGCGAAAGUCCGAGAUAACAGUGUCAAAAAUCUCGUCGAACCCGAACUAACCUCAUCGGAAUCAGCUAGUUUGGUCGCUUGAUUCAACCUAAACGGGCCGGAAUCAACCCGAACAGGCUGAUUUCAGAUCGAUUCAGGUAGUUGGUUCUAGUUUCGGCGACGGAGAUGGGUUUAAUUGAGUUUUUCGAUGAGUUUCGGAGUGAACUCAGAAUGGGUGAAGUGGUUUCCAGUGAAGAAUAGCCGAAAAACUCGAUCUCCGAUCGAUUCCUUCUCUCUCAAACUCCCUCACGUCCGCCUUUACUAUUUUUCGAUUAAACUCUCCUACCCCCCAAUCUCUCUCUGUGUGUGCGUAUGUGUGAAUUAUUGUGAUACUGUGAGAAUGUGUCGUGGUCGGUAACCGGAGCUCCGGUCUCUUUUGUUUCUAUAUAUGAUCAAAAAAAUGAAAACCAAGAAAAAAAUGGUCCCCUCUUCCCAGAUCCGUGUCAUAUGGUGUAUAUGGCAUAGAUAAUUUUGGAGAAGAAAGGAAAAUCCAAUUUUUGAGAUGUGCUCCCCUAUAUUUUCUUUUGGUUGCUGUUGAUAUAUAUGGAUGAUGAUGAUAAU